ensembl:lncRNA
UUUUGUUAAGACGGUAGGUAGAUCUCAUAUUAAGUGUUCUUGCCAUGAAAACAAAAACAAAAUCCUAAAAAGAUAAACAAACAUACAAAAGGCAUGGGGAAACUUUUGGAGGUGAUGGAUAUGUUCAAUAGGUUGGAGGUGAUGGGUAUGUUCAGUAGGGUGGAGGUGAUGGGUAUGUUCAGUAGGGUGGAGAUGAUGGGUAUGUUCAGGAGGUGAUGGGCAUGUUCAGUAGGGUGGAGGUGAUGGGCAUGUUGAGUAGGUGAUGGGUAUGUUGAGUAGGUGAUGGGUAUGUUUGGUAGGGUGGAGGUGAUGGGUAUGUUCAGUAGGUGAUGGGUAUGUUCAGUAGGUGAUGGGUAUGUUCAGUAGGUGAUGGGUAUGUUUGGUAGGGUGGAGGUGAUGGGUAUGUUCAGGAGGUGAUGGGUAUGUUCAGUAGGUGAUGAGUAUGUUCAGUAGGUGAUGGGUAGGUUGAGUAGGUGAUGGGUAUGUUUGGUAGGGUGGAGGUGACGGGUAUGUUCAGGAGGUGAUGGGUAUGUUCAGUAGGUGAUGGGUGUGUUCAGGAGGUGAUGG